UACGUAGGGUGCGAGCGUUAAUCGGAAUUACUGGGCGUAAAGCGUGCGCAGGCUGUUCUGUAAGUCAGAUGUGAAAUCCCCGAGCUCAACUUGGGAACUGCGUUUGAAACUACAGGACUAGAAUAUGUCGAGAGGGGGUAGAAUUCCACGUGUAGCAGUGAAAUGCGUAGAGAUGUGGAGGAAUACCAAUGGCGAAGGCAGCCCCCUGGGAUAAUAUUGACGCUCAUGCACGAAAGCGUGGGGAGCAAACAGG
rnacentral:rRNA from 1 species